rnacentral:siRNA from 1 species
UAGAAAACAAAACCCAUGGUACCU